rnacentral:rRNA from 1 species
AGUGAACGCUGGCGGCAGGCCUAACACAUGCAAGUCGAGCGGCAGCGGGUCCUUCGGGUUGCCGGCGAGCGGCGGACGGGUGAGGUAUACAUCGGAAUCUGCCCUGUCGUGGGGGAUAAUCUAUGGAAACUUAGGCUAAUACCGCAUACGACCUACGGGUGCAAGCGGGGGAUCGCAAGACCUCGCGCGCCAGGAUGAGCCGAUGUCCGAUUAGCUAGUUGGCGGGGUAAAGGCCCACCAAGGCGACGAUCGGUAGCUGGUCUGAGAGGAUGAUCAGCCACACUGGGACUGGGACACGGCCAAGACUCCUAAGGGAGGCAGCAGUGGGGAAUAUUAGACAAUGGGCGCAAGCCUGAUCCAGCCAUGCCGCGUGGGUGAAGAAGGCCUUCGGGUUGUAAAGACCUUUUGUCCGGGAAGAAAUGGUCUGGGCUAAUACCCCGGGCGGAUGACGGUACCGGAAGAAUAAGCACCGGCUAACUUCGUG